UUGUAUUCAAAGACAAAGGAUGCAGACAGCUUUUGUCACGUUUGCCGAGGACGGAAGUUUCUGUAUUAGGUGGUUGGCUCAAGAAACGUGAUGAUUUGAGUAAAGAACAUAAAGUUCAACUACAGGUGAUUUUAAUCAGACUUGUUUUAAUGGCCAUUCUUCUUGACAAAGCAGCAGAGGUCAAAUAUCUUACCAGACCUGGAAGGAACAGAGGUAUUUGUAUCAAUUCUUUCUUCUGAGCAACGAGGGAGCACACGCGUAUAAUGGGAACGGAACAUUCUUCACAAGACCCAGACGUGAAGAAUACAUUCCGCUAAUAGAACAUGAUGAGACAGAACCAGAUUCAAGUUUUGAAGUAAACAGAAUUGUCGUCUACAAAACAGCCUACAUUUACUGUAACACGCACCCUGAAGUCACAGCGAAAUUUGUAGAUGCAUGUACACAAUGUGAUAUAGAGGAACCAUCUGACAAUCUUCACUCAUUCACGGGAAUACCAUCUGAAAAAGAAAUAAGUAGAAUGGCACAUGGGAUUGGAAAGGAGUAUCGAGCACUGGCGACAGAGUUGGGUUUUACAUUUGAAGAGCUUGACCACAUCCGUGACGAAUUCAAGUACCCUGUAGACCGCAACACUGCAAUACUAAAUAGAUGGAAAAAGCGAAAGGCUGAGGAAGCAACGUUUGAAGAGCUAACAAAAGCGAUGGUCCAUGCUAAAAUUAAUCCGGCUGCAGUUUUUGGCAAAAUAGAGCAUUGAGAAUAACACAUAAGACAUAGUUAAAAAGAAGAAAACUAAAUAUGUUCUUAAAUUAGUCUCUAACGUUUUCAGUGUUCUUACAAACCAUAUCAAUCUUGAAGUUCGCAAAUUUAUUAAUGUUGUGAUAACACAUGUAUUUUUCGUGUUUUAACAUCUGCAGAAUCCUGAAGGCUUCUUUGGUGCUCGAGCCCUAAAUUGCGAGGGUACCAAUAUCUCCUAAUGGAUUCCUGCAGAUGUAAUUACAUGAAACUAACGUGUGUAAACGCUAUUCUAGUACACAAAAAAUGGGUAAAAAGCUAAAAACAAUGCAUAUAUUGUCCAUCAACGUCUUCAGUGUCCAUGAAGUAAUAUAAUCACGUUGACCUCGUUUUCUUACAGGGUCGUAAUACGUUUGCGCUUGGUCAUAGAACCGCAAAUUUAAAACCUGUGUUAACAGCGCAUGAAUACCAGAAUACUUACCAGAGUGCUUACACACACUUUUCAGGUGUUUUAACAGGAGAGAAAACGUAUGUUAACAGAGAGAUUCUCGCGCUCACGUCCCGUUAAUACCUCGUUUUAUAUCUGUGCGUUCCACGGCACAGCGUAAACGCAUUAAGGCCCUAAAACCAUGGGAUAAUUAAAAAGGAAUUUACGUUAACGUAGAAAAACUACGCAGACGUUCCCACACAUUUCAUUGAAUGUCAAUGCGGGAGAGAAUAGUUACUUAUUACUUUUUACGCGUUGCUAGAAUAUCGUUAACGCAUGUUCAUUUCGUGAUAUAACAUUCUCAGAAAAAUAAAACAUGCGUUUUCUCUACAUUUUAUACCACUUUGUGUGAUCUUUUAGGCAGGUACCCUGGCUAUUUUAUAAAUACCGCAGAAGUUUUGUAAAUAAAUGCCAAGACUCUAAGACAAAUUAUUCAUCCUAUCGAGCCUAUUGUUAUGAAAAUAAAUUAUUCUUCCUAUUCAGCCUAUUGUUAGGUGUACCUUGAUGAGACAAAAAUAAUUUUAAUGGAUAACAAAUGAAAAAUACUUUAUUAUUCUUCCUAUCCAACCUAUUGUUAGGCAUGAAUUUAGCGUACCUUUUUCGGGCCAAAACUGAUUUUAAUGGAUAACAAAUGAAAAAUACUUUAUUAUUCUUCCUAUUCAGCCUAUUGUUAGGCAUGAAUUUAGUGUACCUUGAUGAAACAGAAAUGAUUUUAAUGGAUAACAAAUGAAAAAUACUUUAUUAUUCUUCCUAUUCAGCCUAUUGUUAGGCAUGAAUUUAGCGUACCUUUAUGAGACAAAAAUGAUUUUAAUGAAUAACAAAUGAAAAAUGCUUUAAAACUGUAGUCACUGACAAUAGAGGCAGACAUGUAGGAGUAACGGACAUUGUCAUAGUUUAAGUGAUUUGUAUAUAAUGAAUGUUUUGAAAUAUAUCUGUUUUCAGAAAACUAAUAUUGUAUAAAUAUUAACGAAUUUCGACUGUUCAAUAGUAUAUUCAAAUCUAUAAUUGAAAACAAGAAACAUGUACUUUAUUUGAUCUUUUGAAUACUUGCGUAUAUAUUUUAUUAUACAUUUAGUGUAUACCAAAGGAUAUACUUUGGGCUAAACUUCCAACUAGAUCCUUGAAAUAAGUAGAUACCUUUUCUAUUCUAAAAGGUAAGCUGGCUAAUUUUAAAAAUCGUUUUAUUGGCCUGAAAUCCUACACAAAUAUCGAUAAAAUAUUUUUUACUUUCGCGAAAGUCUCGUGCUGUCAAUAGUCCUAAAGCAUGCGAUCUUUCAUCGAGUCUCAUCCGAGGCAUAUUUAGUUUAUUUUAGAGUUUCUCUGGUUUUUGCUUACACAAAAAAGUUAAAUUCAACCAAAUUUUAAAGACGCGCCACCAUAUAACUGUAUUCUUUUGUAUUUGCAUGAUGGUAAUUAUACACGAUUUGCAUGAAAAACACGAAGUAUACACGUAUCUACUAACAAAUUGACUGUGAUAUAUAUUAGGCAAAUGCAAUGUGUUAAAUUUCUAAACAUUUUAUUGAAUGAAUGUAGCAUUAUGCACACAGUAUUUAAUAUAUUUUGACGUGUUUGGACCACAUUUUUUCUGCAGUGUAAGUUACUUAUUUAUCUAUGUUUUAACUUUGCAGAUGAAGUUGCAAAAACACAUUUUUAGGGAGAGUCUAAAUUGCCCACCUUGCAUUCUGCAGUAUAGCUGUGUUAUACCGGUAAUACCGAAAUGACUUUCAAGAAGUUUAUGUGGUAGGACAAAGUAGGUCACUAGGUUGUGGUGCGUCUUUAGAUCACGAUUUGCACUUGCACAGCCAAGCACGAGAUUUUAGCAAAAGUAAACCAUAUGUUACCAAUAUUUGUGUACUGUCCGACCAGGGAUACCUGAUAGUGACGUAAAAUUGUUUUAACUUUCCAGUGUUUACUAAUAAACUUUGAUAAUACGACAGUUGAGUCCAAUAAGUCCAGGGGUGUUAAAAGAUAAUCCGUCAUAAAAUUAACUUGGGGCUAUAUUAUUAGUUACCUGUAUUGGAAAAUAAACUGUGUCGAUUGUAUUGAGGUCACUGCCAUAUUAUUAAAGUUUAUUAAUACCUUAUAUUGUACUAGAUUAUCAGUAUGUUCUAAGCCUGCAUGAAUACGUAGCCCAGAGGAUAACGGCGCUGUCGUAGUAAUUGAAAAGUGUAGAGUUCGAACCCGGUCAGCGGAACUUUUUUUCCCGUACGUUAAUUUUUUCAACAUUUUUUUUUUUGCAUCAAAAAUAUAAAGAAAAACUACAAUUGUAAAAAGCAAAUGUAACACGUCUCUCUUUCCGACUAUAUUAUAUUUUUUGCUAUAAAAAUACGUAUAUACCUCGUCUACCACCAGUUUUGAACUAGCAUCGAAUGUGUGACAAGCGACCAACACAUCCACUGGGCCAUAUCUUACUUUGAAUAUCUCUAAGGAUAUAUUUUUAUAAAUUAUAAGUAUGCAUCCAUUGGUGAUAUACCAUGCUUAUUUAUAGUUUGUAAACGAUAUGGCGUCACUGUCAAAAGUUCUCGGUGGAAAAGUAGGUGUUCAGGUCAAUAAAACGAGGUUUAGAAUUCAAAACAGAUCAAAUUUAAUUCGAAACAGAAACAAAGCUGCCUUUUGUAAGAACCAGGUAAGGUGAGCGAUGCAGGGUCUUCGUGGCCUGCUUGAUUGUCUUAUGAAUAUAUUUUUAUUAAACGAUAAGAAUUUAUAGAAAUACAGAUACAUGUGUACAUGUAGUUUCCAAGUAGGACAAAGACAAUAAAAAAAAUAUAUUUUUUUUAAAAAAAAGUAAAAAGCUUUUUUUUUCUUAGGUAUUCGAAGAGACACGGUCACUAAAUUUGUUGAACCCUUGAAGAAUGUAUAGACACAUGAUAAUAGAAAUAUUCGUAUUUGUUGUUUGUAUGUGUAUAUUGUCUGAUAAAUAUAUUGAACAAAUUUUAAGAUAAUGAUAUUGAUGCAAAUGCAAGAUGAGUUUUUUUUGUUACCAAAUAACUGUAGAAAUAUUGUUUUAUCAGUCAGUUAAUAAUUGUUUGAUGUUGUUGUUGUUUUUAUUGAAAUGGUUAAAAUAUUUUUAAGCAGUAGAAAGUUUUCAGGUAACGUAAAAAGAACAGAUAAUUUUUGUAUUAUCUAUUGUAUAAUAUUUCGAUACUUUACAUAUUUGUUUGUGCUUUUAGAUGUUUCAUUUGUUUAGAUAACCAAGAAUCUCAAUUUCUUAAACCUUAUAUCUUGUUAAUAUCAUUAUAAGUGUACUGUAUUUUACAAGUUUCAGUUGUAUAAACUAUGUAACUACG
rnacentral:lncRNA from 1 species